rnacentral:rRNA from 1 species
GACGAACGCUGGCGGCGUGCUUAACACAUGCAAGUCGAACGGAAAGGCCCUGCUUUUGUGGGGUGCUCGAGUGGCGAACGGGUGAGUAACACGUGAGUAACCUGCCCUUGACUUUGGGAUAACUUCAGGAAACUGGGUCUAAUACCGGAUAGGAGCUCCUGCUUCAUGGUGGGGGUUGGAAAGUUUCGGCGGUUGGGGAUGGACUCGCGGCUUAUCAGCUUGUUGGUGGGGUAGUGGCUUACCAAGGCUUUGACGGGUAGCCGGCCUGAGAGGGUGACCGGCCACAUUGGGACUGAGAGACGGCCCAGACUCCUACGGGAGGCAGGAGGGGGGAAUAUAGAACAAUGGGCGGAAGCAUGAUGCAGCAACGCCGCGUGCGGGAUGACGGCCUGCGGGUUGGAAACCGCUUUCGCCUGUGACGAAGCGUGAGUGACGGUAAGGGGUAAAGAAGCACCGGCUAACUACGU